rnacentral:rRNA from 1 species
GACGAACCGUGCGAACGUUAUUCGGAAUCACUGGGCUUAAAGCGCGUGUAGGCGGAUGGGAACGUCGGUAGUUGAAAGCCCCCCGGCUCAACCGGGGAAGUGGUGCCGAAACGACCCGUCUGGAGGGGACGUAGGGGGACCUGGAACUUCCGGUGGAGCGGUGAAAUGCGUUGAGAUCGGAAGGAACGCCCGUGGCGAAAGCGAGGUCCUGGACGUCUACUGACGCGUGAGACGCGAAAAGCUAGGGGAGCAAACAGG